rnacentral:rRNA from 1 species
CCCCUAGAUGUCCUGGGCCGCACGCGCAAUACAAUGUAAAGUUCAGAAAGCAUAUCCUGUUCCGGAAGGCAAUGGGUAAUCUUUUCAAUAUUUUACGUGUUAGGGGUCGAUCUUUGCAAUUAUAGAUCUUGAACGAGGAAUACCUAGUAAGUGCAGCUCAUCAGGCUGUACUGAUUACGUCCCUGCCCUUUGUACACACCGCCCGUCGCUCCUACCGAUUUCGAGUGGUCCGGUGAAUCUUUUGGAAUUAGAGUGCAAACUCAAACUAAGAUCGAUAAACCUUAUCACUUAGAGGAAGGAGAAGUCGUAACA